UGGUUGAAUAUGGAAUUAAACAGCUGCUUCAUAGUGAACUGUGUCCUCCUGCCACUACCACAAGGCGUAAGUUAGAAUCGUGUGUAACUUCGUUUUUUAUGCUGGACGCCAUGAUGAAGCAGAUUUCAGCGGGGCGGCGAUACUGGAAAAGCAUCAUGCAGAAGAAACUUGACGGCCACGAGUCUCUUCCCGAGGGAUGCUGCAGAUCCAUAUUCUGGGAUUCCAUCAGCUUCUGCCACGUACACCUGGAACAGACAGUUCAACAAAAAAAUGACGACGUGCGACUCACCGUGCCGAAUGCGCCCUCAGCCAGUUUGGACAGCAUUCGGAGCCUGUGUCUGG